AAGAGCCGUGUAACGGGAGAUCGUUACGCACGGUUCUGUGAGAGCCGAGGGGCGAGAUCCCCCUCGGCUACUCGAC
rfam:Streptomyces sp. CB01580 scaffold31, whole genome shotgun sequence.